GCAGCCAGCAGCAGCUGCCGAUCCAGGAGCAGAUUGGGUCCCAGGCCAGCCAUACCCUGUUGGGCAUACUCUGUCUCUUUCCCCUGCCCUCAAUUUCUCCUCUGUGCUCAGUACUUUCUAUUGCCCCUGCUUGAGGCUCCUGCCCUCUCUACUAUUUUCCAGUUAGGUAUUCUCAUUUCCGGUGUCACAAGAGAUAGCUAAGCAGCUGGGAAAAGCAACACUAGACCCAGCUUCCUGCCACCGCCUGCACCUAUGUCUGAACCACCGACACAGAAAUAUCCCACCCUCCCUACUCUUGCUUGCUGAAAUGGAUAUACUGGUGUGUAUUACUAAUAAAAUCUCUAAAACUCCAAAAAAAUAAAAAAAAAUUUAAAAAAUAAAAUAAAA